GAAAUGCGAUAAGUAGUGUGAAUUGCAGAAUUCAGUGAAUCAUCGAAUCUUUGAACGCACAUUGCGCCCGCCAGUAUUCUGGCGGGCAUGCCUGUUCGAGCGUCAUUUCAACCAUCAAGCCCCGGGCUUGUGUUGGGGACCUGCGGCUGCCGCAGGCCCUGAAAAGCAGUGGCGGGCUCGCUGUCACACCGAGCGUAGUAGCAUACAUCUCGCUCUGGGCGUGCUGCGGGUUCCGGCCGUUAAACCACCUUCGUAACCCAAGGUUGACCUCGGAUCAGGUAGGGAUACCCGCUGAACUUAAGC
rnacentral:misc_RNA from 1 species